AUCAAACAUAGACCAUGGCAAGCACAAGCAGACUUUGGGACAAACAAGGAGUUUUUAAGAUGCGUUCACGACUAACUUGGAUUCGACAGAGCUUCACGAGUCACGAGUUGACAGCUUUAUUAGACAGGAUGCGUUUGUGCGCGGAGUGAUUGACAGUUCAUUUCAGAGCAGGAUGAGCUUGCCGUCUGUGAGAACAAAGCCAAGGAAAGAAGAGGAGAAAUAGAAAGGAGUCUCUAAAAGAAGAGGGAAACCAUGGCUCAAAUCCUCUUCAGCAGGUACCAGCAGCCAUCCGUUUGACUCAGUCGUGCAUGGGUGAAUUAAAGCUGGGAUUUCACUGCUUUGCCUUCCUCUGACUCACAGUGGCUUUGACAGCAGAGUUGUGGGGCUGUGCAUGUGAAUACUCACAUGUAAAUAGAUGGCUUUCACACUGUUAAUUUAAAAUUUAAUUUAAACUGGUAUAAAUGUA